GGCAUGAUGGCUCAGUGGUAGAGCAUUGGUCUCGUAACCAGAAGGUCCUGGGUUCAAAACCAAGCCGUGCCU
rfam:Strongylocentrotus purpuratus Contig111662_fixed, whole genome shotgun sequence.